GACGUAGGGCGCGAGCGUUGUCCGGAUUUAUUGGGCGUAAAGAGCUCGUAGGCGGCUUGUCGCGUCGUCCGUGAAAACCUGCGGCUCAACUGCAGGCGUGCGGUCGAUACGGGCAGGCUGGAGUUCGGUAGGGGAGACUGGAAUUCCUGGUGUAGCGGUGAAAUGCGCAGAUAUCGGAAGGAACAUCAGUGGCGAAAAGCGACUUCCUGGACCAAUACUGACGCUCAUGUGCGAAAGCGUGGGGAGCAAACAGG
rnacentral:rRNA from 1 species